AUGUACACAGAUAAGAAAAUAACAAAGGAAGACACAUGGAGACCUGCAGACCUGAGGAGACACAUCAGGGAGGAAGAACGUGGUGGUGACGAUACCAGGAGGCGCGAUGGCUAUGAUAGAAGGUACCGUGGUGGGGAAUCCACUGAGAGACGCCAUAGGGACCCAGAAAAGGAGUCUAGACGUGAGAAGGAGAGGCUCAGGGAAAGGGAGAGCACAGGGAGAGAGAGAAGAGAUGAAGGGAAAAAAGACAGAAGGAAAGAGGGCUCACAAGAUAGGAGAGCUGAGAGAGGAAAUGAAAGGGAGACGACAAGGGAAAGGGAGAGAUUUGUAGAUGUAAGGAGGUAUGGUGAUGACUACAGAGAAAAUAAGGAGAAGAGAAGAGACCUAGAGGAAAAACAUGAAAGGGAUAGGGAUAAGGAAAGACACAGAGAUAAGGAGAAAGAGAGGGUAAGGGACAGAGAUAGACACAGGGAGGAAGACCGGAGUAAAAGGAGGGAUGAUGGAGAUAAGGAAAGAAAAAGAGAGGAGCAGGACAGAGAGCUUAGGGAUGAUGGGGAGAGAAGAAGACACAAGGAAAGCAGGGAAGUAAGAGGAGCUCAGAUAGAACAGCACCACAGGGAGGAGAAAGAUCGGCAUCGGGAGAGAGAGAGACACCAAAAUGAAUAUGAAGACACAAGGAAUGCCAAGGAAGAGAGACACAGAGACAUGAAGCAUUCGGAACAGAAAGAGGACAGAGGUAAACAUACAGGAGUGUGCGUAUUUAGAGUAGCAUGUCCAUGA
rnacentral:lncRNA from 1 species